rnacentral:piRNA from 1 species
UGAUAAGUGAGGUGUACUUCAUGUUCCUGGU